GCUGGGGUAGCUCAGCUGGUAGAGCAUCUCCAUGGUAAGGAGAAGGUCGUGGGUUCGAUCCCCAUCCCCAGCU
rnacentral:tRNA from 5 species